CCUUGUACACACCGCCCGUCACACCAUGAGAGUUGGUAACACCCGAAGUCCGUGAGGUAACCGUAAGGAGCCAGCGGCCGAAGGUGGGAUCGAUGAUUGGGGUG
rnacentral:rRNA from 1 species